UCGUUCCUUUCAUUUUCCACCCCAUCGGUUAAGAAUUCGCUCUAGCAGCCACCUUCAGUUAUGCUUCUGAUCCGACAACGUUGUCCCACUUUCUUAAAUCAUCAAUUGCCAACAAUGAGUAUUAUUAUCCUCAUCAUCACCGCACCCCCUCUGCCAUCAUCUCCUCACUUCUCAGAUUUUGGGCAUCGGUUACGAUUACGAACAAACCCUAGCCGACGACGGUGACGAGUCCCAUCCUUCAUAUUUCCAGUGCUGCGUCUACCUCAGCAUUUGCAGGAGAUGGAGCUGCAGCCUGAGACUUUGUUCUUGAGUGUGAGUCUGAUGGACAGAUUUCUCAACAGGGGAUACUUUGAGACUGAAAGGAACCUGCAACUACUCGACAUUGCGUUUGUCACUGUCGCUACUAGGCUUGAAGAGAUCCAUCCUUGGAACAAGUAGAUGCUCUUAUUACUCGCACGUUUUCCAUUUUAUAGAGUAAACCUAAGUUUUUCCAGACAUGAUUUGUUAUUUAUUGUUGUCUCAUUGUACUCGAUUAGUAUUUGGUGAAGAUAUUUCACAGUGGGAGACUAUGUCUACGCUCGAUCUGAAGUAGUUGCAAUGAAAUGACUGGUACUAGAGGUUAUUAAUUUCCAGUGCAUGCUGCCCACAACACAAUUUCUUGUGGUUUUAUCUGAGAGCAACAAAUGCACAUGCCGAGGUGGAGUCCCUGACGAGGUACUUAGUUGUCCUCUCGCUUCUCGACCAUGAGAGGUUUUGCUUCUGGCACUCUACUAUGACUGCCGGAUUCGUUAUCCUCGCUUGACUUGCUACAAGUCAAGAUUCCUCUUGCCUCAGGGUCAUGGAGCGGCACGUGCACAGUAAGAGUGAUGAUCUACCUGAGUGUAUUUAGUUUUUCAAUAUGCAUCACGUGCAGAAAUGACUUGCCCUCGAUGAAACCCCUGAUGUCUCUAAGGACUCAGCAUUGGACAAAAUUCCUCUUAUUCAUUCUAUGUCUAUAAAGAAUCAGAAGAUUCUGAUAAACUGUGGCAGAGGCUAAUUCGAAUCUUCAACACCUAGCAUGGUUUUCCUCAAUGUAUCUUCAUUUAAAAUGAGGUGCUCCUGGCCGGACAAGAAGACUAAUUAUCUCUGCUAUCAACUCAUCGAUAAAUAUUAUUAAUGGGUUCGAACAACUUUAACAAUCAAUACAUCAAGCAAUAGGAGCAAGAUGUCUGCACUAUCACUGACAUGUUAUUGAUUUUGUACUACGACAUAAGAGAUGAAACUGAGUAGUGUUUGAACACCAAGAGAGCUAGCAUGUUAAGUUGUAGUUGAGACAUGGUUAUGGUUCAUUCA